rnacentral:rRNA from 1 species
UACGUAGGGGGCGAGCGUUGUCCGGAAUCAUUGGGCGUAAAGCGCGUGUAGGCGGCUUGGCAAGUCCGGUGUGAAAGCUCGAGGCUCAACCUCGAGUCUGCACUGGAAACUGCCUUGCUAGAGUCCGGAAGAGGAGACUGGAACUCCUGGUGUAGCGGUGAAAUGCGCAGAUAUCAGGAAGAACACCGGUGGCGAAGGCGGGUCUCUGGGACGGUACUGACGCUGAGACGCGAAAGCGUGGGGAGCAAACAGG